rnacentral:rRNA from 1 species
GACGAACGCUGGCGGCGUGCCUAAUACAUGCAAGUCGAGCGAAGUUUUUCUGGUGCUUGCCCUAGAAAAACUUAGCGGCGAACGGGUGAGUAACACGUAAAGAACCUGCCUCAUAGACUGGGACAACUAUUGGAAACGAUAGCUAAUACCGGAUAACAGUAUUUCUCGCAUGAGAGAUAUUUAAAAGUUGGUUAUGCUAACACUAUGAGAUGGCUUUGCGGUGCAUUAGCUAGUUGGUGGGGUAAAGGCCCACCAAGGCGACGAUGCAUAGCCGACCUGAGAGGGUGAUCGGCCACACUGGGACUGAGACACGGCCCAGACUCCUACGGGAGGCAGCAGUAGGGAAUCUUCCGCAAUGGGCGAAAGCCUGACGGAGCAACGCCGCGUGAGUGAAGAAGGAUUUCGGUUCGUAAAGCUCUGUUGUUAGGGAAGAAUGGAUAUGUAGUAAAUAUACAUGUAAGAGACGGUACCUAACCAGAAAGCCACGGCUAACUACGUG